CUACGGUGCGCAGCAGUGGGGAAUAUUGGACAGUGGGGGAAACCCUGAUCCAGCAAUGCCGCGUGUGUGAAGAAGGCCUGCGGGUUGUAAAGCACUUUCGGUUGGGAGGACUGCUUCUAGCACUAAUAUUGUUGGAAGUUGACGUUACCUUCAGAAGAAGCACCGGCUAACUCCGUGCCAGCAGCCGCGGUAAUACGGAGGGUGCAGGCGUUAAUCGGAAUUACUGGGCGUAAAGCGCGCGUAGGCGGCUAGAUCAGUCGGGUGUGAAAGCCCCGGGCUUAACCUGGGAACUGCAUCCGAUACUGUCUAGCUUGAGUACAGGAGAGGAGAGUGGAAUUCCACAUGUAGCGGUGAAAUGCGUAGAUAUGUGGAGGAACACCAAUGGCGAAGGCAGCUCUCUGGCCUGAUACUGACGCUGAGGUGCGAAAGCGUGGGGAGCAAACAGGAUUAGAUACCCGUGUAGUC
rnacentral:rRNA from 1 species